CGCCCCGGUGAUGGGCAAAGACACAUCUUGUUGGUGGUAGUGUUUGUUCUUAAAUCAGUUAGGAGCAGAGCAGAUGGCAGUCCUUUGUUCACCCUAGCUUGGUGCCUGGCUUGGGGUCCAAAGUGUUUUAUGCCUUGGACACAUAA